rnacentral:rRNA from 1 species
AACGCUGGCGGCGUGCUUAACACAUGCAAGUCGAACGGGGGUGCCAUGAACGAAGCAUCAGUUUACUGAUAUGGAGGGAAUGGGACCCUAGUGGCGGACGGGUGAGUAACGCGUGGGUAACCUGCCCCAUACCGGGGGAUAACACUUAGAAAUAGGUGCUAAUACCGCAUAAGCGCACGGGAGCGCAUGCUCCUGUGUGAAAAACUCCGGUGGUAUGGGAUGGACCCGCGUCUGAUUAGCCAGUUGGCAGGGUAACGGCCUACCAAAGCGACGAUCAGUAGCCGGCCUGAGAGGGUGGACGGCCACAUUGGGACUGAGACACGGCCCAAACUCCUACGGGAGGCAGCAGUGGGGAAUAUUGCACAAUGGGGGAAACCCUGAUGCAGCGACGCCGCGUGAGUGAAGAAGUAUUUCGGUAUGUAAAGCUCUAUCAGCAGGAACGAGACAAGACGGUACCUGACUAAGAAGCCCCGGCUAACUACGUGCCAGCAGCCGCGGUAAUACGUAGGGGGCAAGCGUUAUCCGGAAUCACUGGG